CUAGCGGUUGAAACAGUGUGUAACCUAUCUUUCCAGAUUUGCUGUUCAAGGAACUCUUGAUGAUACUGAUACUGAAAGUUCAAAGGAUGCCAUGCUGCAGGCUGAUUCAAAUUUAGAGAUGAGCCAAAACAUAGCAGACGCUUGUUUCUUAUUUUAAGUUCUACAACAAGAAGGUUUGAACAUUUUCAAAUGAGAAAGCUGAGGAAAAUAAAUAAAUCAAGGAAAAAUAAGGUGAAAUUCCUGGAUCAAAUGACCAUUUACAGAAGACUAGAAACACUUUGCUAUUAUUCUUUUAAACUGCUAGUGAGAUAGUGGGAGCUUGAUAAAAGUGACUCAUUUCAAACAGUUACAUUUCUGUGAGCCUGAGUAUUUUUAGAUUACUAACCCUCUUUCCUUGCCCCCCUCCCACAACUAAUUGAGGGAGCUUGAGUUUCUCUUUCCCAGUAUCUCCUCCUUUAGAUGUGCUGUUUCAACCUAAGAUCCUGGGCACCAAGAGGUCAGUGAGAGUGGUGGGGUGUCUUUAAGCUUUUCAAUAUUUUACCAGCCUAACAAAAAUCAUACAUAAACUCACAAUGAGGCUCAAGUGAGUGAGCUUAGAAGCACAGUCUCGGGACUUCCCUGGCUGUCCAGUGGUUAAGACAUUGUGCACUCAAAGCAGGGGGCCUGGGCUCGAUCUCUGUUUGAGGACGUAAG